GUCCACAGUAUCAGGGAGGUUCAGUGGCAAGUUGAGCCUCCAUUCCCAUCAGGCAAUGAGAUUGAAUGUAUUAGUACUUCAUUAUCUCCCAGCCAGGCAACAGCAGGGGUCAGUGGGGAGGGGAGCUUCUGUUCAGAAACUGCAGCAACAAUGUGUGUGACUUUGCACUCUCAUUCCCUCUUCCCUGAGGUUAGUGGAGCCUAACAGAGAGCUGAGCUUACACCCCUACUAGGAUACAAUGAGACAGAAUCGUUAGUUCUCCACUUUCAAGAGGAAGUUGUCACCAGGGCUGAGGAGGAACUGAACUCUCCUGCUCCCAUGUGGUACAAUAAGGCAGUAAGAUCUGGUAACACCAGGCUCCUGAUCUCACAUGAUAGCCAUGUGCUUCACCUUGAGAAGCAGCUAUCCCUCUAGCCAGGUCACCUGCUUUCUGCCUUUCCAUCCCUCAAGUUUGCUUCAGCUGUAUCAAUCAUACAUCUCUGGGCUCUGAUGUAAGAGAGACAUUUUAGAAGAGAAUGGAAGACAGAAAUCUUCAGAACUAGAAACUACAUAAUUUACCUUACCUACUUAGAAU
ensembl:lncRNA